CCUACGGGAGGCAGCAGUGGGGAAUAUUGGACAAUGGGGGCAACCCUGAUCCAGCCAUGCCGCGUGUGUGAAGAAGGCCAUCGGGUUGUAAAGCACUUUCAGUGAGGAAGAACGCCUGGUGGUUAAUACCCAUCAGGAAAGACAUCACUCACAGAAGAAGCACCGGCUAACUCCGUGCCAGCAGCCGCGGUAAUACGGAGGGUGCGAGCGUUAAUCGGAAUUACUGGGCGUAAAGCGCGCGUAGGUGGCUUGAUAAGCCGGUUGUGAAAGCCCCGGGCUCAACCUGGGAACGGCAUCCGGAACUGUCAAGCUAGAGUGCAGGAGAGGAAGGUAGAAUUCCCGGUGUAGCGGUGAAAUGCGUAGAGAUCGGGAGGAAUACCAGUGGCGAAGGCGGCCUUCUGGACUGACACUGACACUGAGGUGCGAAAGCGUGGGUAGCAAACAGGAUUAGAUACCCUUGUAGUC
rnacentral:rRNA from 1 species